rnacentral:rRNA from 1 species
GACGAACGCUGGCGGCGUGCUUAACACAUGCAAGUCGAGCGGAGCGGCGAACGGGUGAGUAACGCGUGAGUAACUGCCCCCCUCUCUGGGAUAACAGUUGGAAACGGCUGCUAAUACCGGCUAGUGGGGGAUGACUCGCGUCCUAUCAGCUUGUUGGUGGGGUAGUGGCCUACCAAGGCGACGACGGGUAGCCGGCCUGAGAGGGCGACCGGCCACCUUGGGCUGGAAUACGGCCCAAACUCCUACGGGGCGGAGUCGUUGGGAAUUGUGCACAAUGGGGUGAACUCUGAUGCAGCAACGCCGCGUGCGGGAUGACGGCCUUCGGGUUGUAACCCGCUUUCAGCCAUGACGCGGUAGUGGCAGAAGAAGCACCGGCUAACUACGUGCCAGCAGCCGCGGUAAUUC